AUUGAACGCUGGCGGCAGGCCUAACACAUGCAAGUCGAGCGGAUGAGAGGAGCUUGCUUCUCGAUUCAGCGGCGGACGGGUGAGUAAUGCCUAGGAAUCUGCCUGGUAGUGGGGGACAACGUUUCGAAAGGAACGCUAGUACCGCAUACGUCCUACGGCAGAAAGCAGGGGACCUUCGGGCCUUGCGCUAUCAGAUGAGCCUAGGUCGGAUUAGCUAGUUGGUGAGGUAAUGGCUCACCAAGGCGACGAUCCGUAACUGGUCUGAGAGGAUGAUCAGUCACACUGGAACUGAGAAACGGUCCAGACUCCUACUGGAGGCAUCAGUGGGAAAUAUUGGACAAUGGGCGAAAGCCUGAUCCAGCCAUGCUGCGUGUGUGAAGAAGGUCUUCGGAUUGUAAAGCACUUUAAGUUGGGAGGAAGGGUUGUAGAUUAAUACUCUGCAAUUUUGACGUUACCGACAGAAUAAGCACCGGCUAACUCUGUGCCAGCAGCCGCGGUAAAAC
rnacentral:rRNA from 1 species